CCUUAGAGUUUGAUCCUGAUCUCAGGAUUAUACGCUGGCGGCAUGCCUAAUACAUGCAAGUCGAACGAAAAAUAUAUAGAUGCUUGCAUUUAGAUAUUUUUAGUGGCGAACGGGUGAGUAAUAUAUAGAUAACCUACCUUUAAGUUGGGGAUAACAGAGGGAAACUUUUGCUAAUACCGAAUAAAAUAAUUAGACGCAUGUUUAAUUAUUAAGAGGGGCUUCAAAGCCCCGCUCUAAGAGGGGUCUAUAUCGCAUUAGCUAGUUGGUAAGAUAACAGCCUACCAAGGCUAUGAUGCGUAGCUGUACUGAGAGGUAGAACAGCCACAUUGGGACUGAGAUACGGCCCAAACUCCUACGGGAGGCAGCAGUAGGGAAUUUUCGGCAAUGGGGGGAACCCUGACCGAGCAAUGCCGCGUGAUUGAAGAAGAUCUUCGGAUCGUAAAGAUCUGCUAUUAGGGAAGAAUGGAAUUGAUAGGAAAUGAUCAAUUUAUGACGGUGCCUAAUGAGGAAGCCCCGGCUAACUAUGUGCCAGCAGCCGCGGUAAUACGGAGGAUCCAAGCGUUAUCCGGAUUUAUUGGGUUUAAAGGGUGCGUAGGCGGGGAAUCAAGUCAGCGGUGAAAGUUUGCGGCUCAACCGUAAAAUUGCCGUUGAAACUGGUUCUCUUGAGUGUAGAUGAGGUGGGUGGAAUUCGUGGUGUAGCGGUGAAAUGCUUAGGUAUCACGAAGAACUCCAAUUGCGUAGGCAGCUCACUGGGCUACAACUGACGCUGAGGCACGAAGGUGCGGGGAUCAAACAGGAUUAGAUACCCUGGUAGUCCGCACAGUAAACGAUGAAUACUAAGCUGUUGGCGAUACCACUGCCAGUGGCACAGCGAAAGCGUUAAGUAUUCCACCUGGGGAGUACGUUCGCAAGAAUGAAACUCAAAGGAAUUGACGGGGGCCCGCACAAGCGGAGGAACAUGUGGUUCAAUUCGAUGAUACGCGAGGAACCUUACCCGGGCUUGAAUUGCAUCUGAAUACAGCGGAAACGUUGUAGCUAGCAAUAGCAGAUGUGAAGGUGCUGCAUGGUUGUCGUCAGCUCGUGCCGUGAGGUGUCGGCUUAAGUGCCAUAACGAGCGCAACCCUCAUCAUUAGUUACUAACAGGUCAUGCUGAGGACUCUAAUGAGACUGCCGGCGUAAGCUGUGAGGAAGGUGGGGAUGACGUCAAAUCAGCACGGCCCUUACGUCCGGGGCGACACACGUGUUACAAUGGGGGGGACAGCAGGCAGCGAAGUGGUGACACCGAGCGAAUCCUCAAACCCUCUCUCAGUUCGGAUCGAAGUCUGCAACCCGACUUCGUGAAGCUGGAUUCGCUAGUAAUCGCGCAUCAGCCAUGGCGCGGUGAAUACGUUCCCGGGCCUUGCACACACCGCCCGUCAAG
rnacentral:rRNA from 1 species